UGCUCCAUUGGGAUCCCGUGCUGUGGGGGGUGUAAACAUCCUACACUCUCAGCUGUCAAGUCAAGGAGGCUGGGAGAGGGUUGUUUACUCCCUCCGCCAUGGAGAACUUCAGCCAAGUCCA
rnacentral:precursor_RNA from 13 species